UUGACCUCAAAUCAGGUAGGACUACCCGCUGAACUUAAGCAUAUCAAUAAGCGGAGGAAAAGAAACUAACAAGGAUUCCCCUAGUAACUGCGAGUGAAGCGGGAAAAGCUCAAAUUUAAAAUCUGGCAGUCUUUGAUUGUCCGAGUUGUAAUCUAGAGAAGUGUUAUCCGCGCUGGACG
rnacentral:rRNA from 1 species